UACGUAGGGAGCAAGCGUUGUCCGGAAUCAUUGGGCGUAAAGCGCGCGUAGGCGGCCCUGUAAGUCCGUUGUGAAAGUCAAAGGCUCAACCUUUGAAAGCCGAUGGAUACUGCAGGGCUAGAGUUCGGAAGAGGCGAGUGGAAUUCCUGGUGUAGCGGUGAAAUGUGUAGAGAUCGGGAGGAACACCGGUGGCGAAGGCGGGUCUCUGGGCAUUUCCUGACGCUGAGGCGCGAAAGCGUGGGGAGCAAACGGG
rnacentral:rRNA from 1 species